GUUAAAUUGAAACGGCAAAAAAUAAAUUCAAAAAAUAACUUAAUGCAAAAAAAAAAGAAGAAGAAAUGAGCACAUCAAUAUUUAUAUGGUUCGGCUGAUAACCUACGUCUAUGGACAAAGACGGAAUAAAUAAUUUAUUAAUAUUGAAAGGCGGAGUAUAAAAAAGAUCUCUCUUAAAUUAAGAUUCCAAAUAAAAUAUUUGAUU
rnacentral:lncRNA from 1 species